rnacentral:rRNA from 1 species
CUACGGGGUGCUGCAGUGAGGAAUAUUGCACAAUGGGGGGAACCCUGAUGCAGCAACGCCGCGUGGAGGAUGACGCAUUUCGGUGUGUAAACUCCUUUUAUAUGUCAAGAAAAUGACGGUAGCAUAUGAAUAAGCACCGGCUAACUCCGUACCAGCAGCCGCGGUAAUACGGAGGGUGCAAGCGUUACUCGGAAUCACUGGGCGUAAAGGACGCGUAGGCGGGUUGGAAAGUCAGGUGCGAAAUCCUACAGCUUAACUGUAGAACUGCACUUGAAACUUCUAAUCUAGAGUAUGGGAGGGGGAGAUGGAAUUAGUGGUGUAGGGGUAAAAUCCGUAGAUAUCACUAGGAAUACCUAAAGCGAAGGCGAUCUCCUGGAACAUUACUGACGCUAAGGCGUGAAAGCGUGGGGAGCAAACAGGAUUAGAUACCCGCGUAGUC